UUUUUUUUUAGUUUUUGAU
rnacentral:sRNA from 1 species